rnacentral:lncRNA from 1 species
CAGCGACCGCCUCACAGACGAGCUGUGGGAAGCAGGAGGGAGACUCUCUCUUAGGGUGCCACUACUAUGGAGACACAGCUGGGCUGAACAAGAUUUGCUUCAAACGACAACAAGAGAGACAGAAAGUAUCUGGUUCAACCGCUGCCCGAGCAGGCAGGCACCAGAAGAGCUAGCAGCCAAUCCGGCCAUGCUCGAAGCCAGCUCUGCAGCUCAGCCAAUCAGUGACAUCAUUGCUUUCUUUAGCUUGCCCAUGGUGAUGUGAAGAUGAGAAGAAAUAGCAAGGCCCAACCAGUUCUUCAUCUGGAGACAGUUCAACGUUCUGCAAACCAGAUCUUCAGGAAUUUUACUGGGAUAAUUAUCCAAAUAAAUUGCAAGCAUUCUAUCCAAAUGGAGCUCUUUCUGAGAUGAAGAGAAUUCUCAAUGUCAAGAUUUGAACAAGAAGAGAAUGGAAUACACAAUAUGGACAUCCAUAAAAAUUCAUCAGAGAGCAUUUUACUACUGAGCUGCAAAGGGAAAAACUUAAAAUGGAUAUGAAAAGUGAAGAAAGUGAUCAUAGGAGAAAACCAUUUCAGGUGUCUGAUGAUUUGUGAGCCUCAAGUGACUACUCUGUGGAAUCAUCUGUCCUUGCCUUUGAAUUAGCUUUCCCUAGGCCAUGAGUCAACAUUAGUAGUUUAUACAUCCAAAUUGAUGACAAGAGCACCUCAAAGGCAGCAGCCUCAAGGAGCAGCCAUGGCCCCAGACUUGUCGCACGGAUGCAGAAAACUUAAUGGAGGAGGCUGAGGUCAGAAUGGGAAGAGUUUUUAAAAAAUAAAAAGGGGAGCUAAUAUGUGAGGAA